GUAAGUUAUUACAAAUCUUGAAGAAGAAAAAAUAAUUCGUUAUACUGCUUUAAGGAUUUAAUGCAACGUCAAAUAAUCUAGCAAGUUUUUACAAUGUACAAUAUAUUUAUAUAAUACAAUAUUUAAUACGUUCUUGUGUGUGUUUUUUUUUUUUUUUCAGAAACCAUUUGCACUCGCUAUAUAGUGCAAAAUAUUAUUGGAGAAGGAGGCUACGGCAGGGUGUAUGAGGGAAUCCGUAUUUCCGAUGGCAAAAAGGUUGCCAUCAAACGUAUUCAAAAGACUUUACGGGAUCAUUAUCUUCAAACUACUCUGCAUCCCAAACCUCUCAUUACCGAAGUUGCGCUGAUGCUAACGAUGAGGCAAGGACCCAUAAGCCCCUACGUCAUCCAACUAUAUGAGUGGUUUGAGCACCCUCAAGUAUUUACUCUCGUGAUGGAGAAUCCAGAUCCCUGCGAGAGCUUGUUGGACUUCAUCAACAAGAAUCCUAACAUGAAUGAGACGACAGCACGGCUCAUUAUGUGUCAGGCGGUGCAAGCAGUACAGCACUGCAUUGAGUGCGGUGUUUUUCAUAACGAUAUUCAUCCAGAUAAUAUCCUGUUGAGAAAACACACUUUGGAGAUCAAGUUGAUAGACUUUGGCUGUGGUCAUCUACUUAGUAGUAAUGGCUAUGAUCGCAGUCAAUAUAGAGGAAUACAGGCUUACUUCCCACCUGAACUCUUCACCUGUGGCAGGUUCUACGCUGUCUCUACAAACGUCUGGGCUCUAGGAGUGUUGUUGUAUGAGAUGGUGAACACAUGUUCUCCAUUUUGCAAUAUAACGGAAAUCAAGCAAGCCGAAAUUAGGUUUGAAAACCCAGAUUUAUCCAAAGAAUGCCGUGAUCUGAUUGUCCAAUGUCUAAACCGUGAUCCUACUGAACGGCUGACCCUCGAGCAGAUCUUGCAGCAUGACUGGUUUAAAACAGUGGAUCUAGAAGAGUCAGAGGAUAGCAACAGCAUUGGUUUCAAAGUUGAGCCAGUGUAACAGACAGAGUAGGAAACUACAACUGUGCUGUCACCUUCAAUUCUGAAUCAUAUAUAAUGUAGAUUUAAAAUAUGAUCAGUGAAGGUUGGACACACACCGUCCAGUGAAAAAAGCACUAUGAAUUCACAUGCUGAUGGAGAUUGGAAACUCAAGCCCUCAUGUGAGCCCACUACUAAAGAAUCAGAGAGCACCCCUGAAUUCAGAGCUGGUCCACAUUCUUACAGUCCCAUCUGAAUCUGAGCAUCUAUAGUUCUAGUCAUCAGAGCCUUAAGUGCUUUUAUAAAAGCUUGUUUUAAGAGCACAGUUUGGCUUUGUUUUAAAAGCGUUGAUUUAGCUUUGUUUAAAAAGUGUAGUUUUGCUGUUUUAAAAUGAA